rnacentral:rRNA from 1 species
GAUGAACGCUGGCGGCGUGCCUAAUACAUGCAAGUCGAGCGAACGGACGAGAAGCUUGCUUCUCUGAUGUUAGCGGCGGACGGGUGAGUAACACGUGGAUAACCUACCUAUAAGACUGGGAUAACUUCGGGAAACCGGAGCUAAUACCGGAUAAUAUUUUGAACCGCAUGGUUCAAAAGUGAAAGACGGUCUUGCUGUCACUUAUAGAUGGAUCCGCGCUGCAUUAGCUAGUUGGUAAGGUAACGGCUUACCAAGGCAACGAUGCAUAGCCGACCUGAGAGGGUGAUCGGCCACACUGGAACUGAGACACGGUCCAGACUCCUACGGGAGGCAGCAGUAGGGAAUCUUCCGCAAUGGGCGAAAGCCUGACGGAGCAACGCCGCGUGAGUGAUGAAGGUCUUCGGAUCGUAAAACUCUGUUAUUAGGGAAGAACAUAUGUGUAAGUAACUGUGCACAUCUUGACGGUACCUAAUCAGAAAGCCACGGCUAACUACGUGCCAGCAGCCGCGGUAAUACGUAGGUGGCAAGCGUUAUCCGGAAUUAUUGGGCGUAAAGCGCGCGUAGGCGGUUUUUUAAGUCUGAUGUGAAAGCCCACGGCUCAACCGUGGAGGGUCAUUGGAAACUGAAAAACUUGAGUGCAGAAGAGGAAAGUGGAAUUCCAUGUGUAGCGGUGAAAUGCGCAGAGAUAUGGAGGAACACCAGUGGCGAAGGCGACUUUCUGGUCUGUAACUGACGCUGAUGUGCGAAAGCGUGGGGAUCAAACAGGAUUAGAUACCCUGGUAGUCCACGCCGUAAACGAUGAGUGCUAAGUGUUAGGGGGUUUCCGCCCCUUAGUGCUGCAGCUAACGCAUUAAGCACUCCGCCUGGGGAGUACGACCGCAAGGUUGAAACUCAAAGGAAUUGACGGGGACCCGCACAAGCGGUGGAGCAUGUGGUUUAAUUCGAAGCAACGCGAAGAACCUUACCAAAUCUUGACAUCCUUUGACAACUCUAGAGAUAGAGCCUUCCCCUUCGGGGGACAAAGUGACAGGUGGUGCAUGGUUGUCGUCAGCUCGUGUCGUGAGAUGUUGGGUUAAGUCCCGCAACGAGCGCAACCCUUAAGCUUAGUUGCCAUCAUUAAGUUGGGCACUCUAAGUUGACUGCCGGUGACAAACCGGAGGAAGGUGGGGAUGGCGUCAAAUCAUCAUGCCCCUUAUGAUUUGGGCUACACACGUGCUACAAUGGACAAUACAAAGGGCAGCGAAACCGCGAGGUCAAGCAAAUCCCAUAAAGUUGUUCUCAGUUCGGAUUGUAGUCUGCAACUCGACUACAUGAAGCUGGAAUCGCUAGUAAUCGUAGAUCAGCAUGCUACGGUGAAUACGUUCCCGGGUCU